AUCGAACGCUGGCGGCAGGCCUAACACAUGCAAGUCGAACGAACCUUUCGGGGUUAGUGGCGGACGGGUGAGUAACACGUGGGGACGUGCCUUUAGGUUCGGAAUAACUCAGGGAAACUUGUGCUAAUACCGAAUGUGCCCUUCGGGGGAAAGAUUAAUCGCCUUUAGAGCGGCCCGCGUCUGAUUAGCUAGUUGUUUGAGGUAAUGGCUCACCAAGGCGACGAUCAGUAGCUGGUCUGAGAGGAUGAUCAGCCACAUUGGGACGGAGGCACGGCCCAAACUCCUACGGGAGGCAGCAGUGGGGAAUCUUGCGCAAUGGGCGAAAGCAUGACGCAGCCAUGCCGCGUGAAUGAUGAAGGUCUGAGGAUAGUAAAAUUCUUUCAUCGCGGACGAUAAUGACGGUACCCGGAGAAGAAGCCCCGGCUAACUUCGUG
rnacentral:rRNA from 1 species